rnacentral:snoRNA from 17 species
AAGACUAUACUUUCAGGGAUCAUUUCUAUAGUUCGUUACUAGAGAAGUUUCUCUGAUCGUGUAGAGUACCGAAAACCACGAGGAGGAGUUGUAGCGUUCCCUUCUGAGCGUGAAGCAGGCACUUGGUGUUGCUUUACUGCAACUGCCUCUUGCCAUUGAUGAUCGUUCUUCUCUCCUUUUAGGAGAGUAAGAGGGAGGGAACGCAGUCUGAGUGGU